GUGGGGAAUCUUGCGCAAUGGGCGAAAGCCUGACGCAGCCAUGCCGCGUGAAUGAUGAAGGUCUUAGGAUUGUAAAAUUCUUUCACCGGGGACGAUAAUGACGGUACCCGGAGAAGAAGCCCCGGCUAACUUCGUGCCAGCAGCCGCGGUAAUACGAAGGGGGCUAGCGUUGCUCGGAAUUACUGGGCGUAAAGGGCGCGUAGGCGGAUUGUUAAGUCAGGGGUGAAAUCCCAGAGCUCAACUCUGGAACUGCCCUUGAUACUGGCGAUCUUGAGUGUGAGAGAGGUAUGUGGAACUCCGAGUGUAGAGGUGAAAUUCGUAGAUAUUCGGAAGAACACCAGUGGCGAAGGCGACAUACUGGCUCAUUACUGACGCUGAGGCGCGAAAGCGUGGGGAGCAAACAGGAUUAGAUACCCGAGUAGUCC
rnacentral:rRNA from 1 species